rnacentral:tRNA from 1 species
AUUUAAAUAGCUUAAAUGUAGAGCAUGACAUUGAAGAUGUUAAAGUGAUUAAAAAAUCUUUAAAUA